GGGGAUGUGACUCAGUGGAAAAGUGCUUGCCUGGCAUGCAUGAUGCCCUGGAUUCAAAUUCCCAAGCAUACAUA
rnacentral:tRNA from 1 species